rnacentral:lncRNA from 1 species
GGCGUCUCGCAGGGCGCAAGGCAGCUUCCGGCUUCCGCAGCGGUGGCGGAGAAGCGACGAGCAGAGAAGACCGAAGAGGGGCUGAGGACCGUGAUGUACCUCAGCUGCUGGGGUCCCAAUUAGUACUACUAGCUACCAAGAGGUGUUUUCUCCUAGCUCCAGCAUCUGUUAGAAACUUCUAGCAACAACCACGCCGUGUGACUUGGCUGGUUAAUUCCCUGCCGAUUAUAAAUACGUAUCACGAUGAUGAUGAUGAAACCUUUCCCCACUUCGAGUUCACAUUAUCCUUCUUCAGAAAGGUUUGAAUUGCCUUUCAAACUGAUCUGUUUGUUUCAAAUUCUUUGGGAAGAUUGUUGUUUCGAGUUGGGCGCAAGCUUUGCCUGUUGCUCUGUUCGAUGGGCAGAGCAUUGAUCCUGCUCCAUUUUCCGCCAGCUUGUGCAGAUGAUAAUCAAAACCUUCUUCUUUUUUUGCGAAUUAGUGUUGUAGGUUCAGUUUUAUAAACAUAUGAAUAUGAUACUACCUCCGUCUCGGUGAAUAAGUCAUUCGCGUAGUUCUAGGUCGAUGAUUUAACUAUCUAAAUAUGGAUUAUGUGUAUAAAAAAUAUAUAUUUAGAAAUUACAUCCGUGUAGAAAUCUAGUGAUAUACUUUUCAUAACAUAUAACUCAUAUUUAAUUGCUCAAAUCAAUGACCUAGAACUACGUAAAUAACUUAUUCAUCUAGACGGAGGUAGUAGUACAGUAUGCAUCUUUCCACUAUUUGUGCAACCUCACAUGCGUCUUCUUUGUUGUGUUCGUCCAUCAGACGUACGCGGGACUGUUACUACCAAACAAGCGCUGAAAGUGGAAACCAUGUGUUGCUCCUCUGGUUCCCCCUCCCCCCGGCCAGCUCUCAUACUCGUACGUGUUCUCACUGUCACAUGUCCACAACAUGAGCCUGAAGCCCUGAGGUGAUAAAGUUUCUCCAGUUAAGUCGGUGAAGAAACUUACAAUAUUUGGCUACUGCACUGAAAAUGUGAUUGCUUGCUAUAGGACCAGCGCAUCAGACCAGCCGAUGAAGACAAGUGUAGAUCGGAAGGAUUCAACUUGCAGACACACAGACCUAGACGAACGAAGAUCGGAUCCAUCGAAGACAAACGCCGACCGUAUCCCAUGAAAUCCGUUGGAAACACACGUCCACACGCCCUCCGACGAGCUUGAAGCAUCAACCGGGCGUGGGCUAGGCAGGGAGAACCUUAUUUCAUCUAAAAAAAGCAGUCGCCGCCUCAUCUUCUUGAGCAUGGCACAAAUCCUAACAAAACUCUGAAAAGCAUGUAAAAAUGGAGCCCUCCCGCCGGCAAGGGCCGGUAUCCACCGCGCCUCCAUGGUCCAAGGACCAUAGAAGACGAGGCGGACCGGUGGCGGCGCCAGCGAGAGGUAGGGAAACCCUAGACGGGAGUUCGCACAAGAGCGGGAGCGAAGAAUUUUUUUUUGUACAAUUAACAUUCUUGGCUUUACAUGUCACCAGUGGUUAUACCUUUUUAUUAAUUUGCAGGGGCAUGUAUUAUAUAUUUUUUGUAUAUUUUAAUAAAUAUAUAUUUUUCUCCAUCAGUUGUCAAAGUAUAAAACUACAAUGUGGAAAUUUUUUGGACUCCCAGGUCUCCCAAGUGUCAAACGUCUAGAUUUGCAUCUUGACACAUUUAUAGUUGUCUUACCAUAAAGUUGACGCGAUGAUUUUGAAUAUACCGAAUUCAUGUUAUUCCUUCGGGGGAAAAAUGAUUCUCCAACUAUUGUCAAAUCUUAAAUUUGGCUCCAAACAUCAAAAAAAUUCUUUGCCAAUCAAGUAUCAAAAACAUCUAGACUUGGUAUUUUGCCCCAUUGAAAGUGGUUUUGCAUACAUGGUAGCAUAAUCACCACAAUGAUUUUUUUUACAUCACAUGGGAAAGAUGAGAAAAUAGAACAAUAAAAAAUUCAGACAUUUGCUAAACAAUAUAUGUUUAUUUUAGGAAUUUUUUGUCUAUACAAAAAAAAGCAUGGAAAUGAAGAGGUACAGAAAAAAUUGGUCAAAAUGAACGAAUUUGCGAAAAACCUUUUAUAUUUGAAGAUGUAUUAAAACUAAGAGAAUUUCAAAUUUGAAGAAUUAAAUCGAGGAAAUUAAAUCUUUUGAGUUUUAUCAGAUUACAUGGUUUCCUGAAUAUAGUAUAUGAUAAUUAUCCAAUUUCAAAACUCCUGAAAUCUUACCUGAUUCUUUAUGUUUUUCCUAAAAAAUAAUGUGUUAAUUUCCCCAUUUUAUUUGUGUUCUGCCAAUUUUAUUUGCACACUUAGUUACGACAUGUGCAAAACCCCCUCUAUGGCAACUAAAAUAAAUUGCUUUCCAUGAAGCAGUAACUUCGACAAUUCUACCCGCAAAAAAAAAAAACUUCGACAAUCCUGACAUUUUUUAGCCUACGAACAAUAGUCCUACAGUAUUCUAAGACAACUAAUGUUACUACUCGCAAGUGGCAAUAACAUUUGAAUCUGCUUACUGAAUAUUUACACACAUCACCUAUCCUUUAUUCAUAUCUUAUCUCUGUCGGCUUGUUCCAAUCCCAGACUCUAUCGCAAUGGCCAAAACCACCACUUCCACAGAGAAUAAACAAACGACACGGCAACGAUGGUUGCGGCGUGAAGAAGCAGAGUAGCAGCAGAGUGAUGACUCCAGAAGCACCCGGUUUCGUGGGAAAACCAACGUCCGCGACCACUGUUUUGCUCCAGACCUCCCGUAUAUAACCACGUCCCAGCCCCUCUCCCCCUCUCAUCAACACAAGCAUCUACACUCACAAAGUCCGCGCUCUGCACUCUACACUCGACAACUAGCUACUCUACUACUCUUCAGUCAUCACCUACUUCAGACCACCAACACACAGAGAGAUCAUGGCGGGUGCGGCGAAGGCGUCUUGGAUGGUGGCGAUGAGUGUGGGCGCCGUGGAGGCCCUCAAGGACCAGGUCGGCCUCUGCCGCUGGAACUACGCCCUCAAAUCCAUCCACCGGGCAGCCAACGUCCGCGGCGGCGUCUUGCAGGGCGCCAAGCAGCUUCCGGCCUCUGCUGAGGCGGCGGCCGAGAAGCGGCGAGGGGAGAAGGCCGAGGAAGGGCUGAGGACGGUGAUGUACCUCAGCUGCUGGGGUCCCAAUUAGAAGCUGCAACUUGGUACUAGCUAGGCGUGUGUGUGUUUGCUGCAACAACCAUGGCCUGGAACCACGAUGUAAAAACUUGGUACUAGCUGGCUUCCCGAGGAAUCCCCCAUUGUAAAAACCCCGAUGAUGAUGAUGACAAAUUUCUGUUACUUCAGUUCAUAUCACUCUCCUUAUCUGUUUGCCUUUUUGUUAUCUUGAUGAGAAAUAUGAAUAGAUGCUUUACUUUAGUUUCAGCUAUUCCCUUGUCUUUGAACCCGGCCUUUUGGUCGUAUGUCAUUACAACUUACAAGGACUUCAUUUUUUUACCUGAGUUCAUAGCAAACAUGCUGUAUCUCUUCAGUCUGCAGCACACGUGAAGGUGUCCUCUGCAGGUGUUGAAAAGAGACACAUGAUAAAUUCCCAUAUCUGAAGCAACCUCACACGGCCCCUGGUAUGGUGGAAACCAUGUCUUCCAGCGUGUGGGUCACCCCCAUCUAAUCUUAUCUUAUCACUCUGCCUUGUCUGGUUGUAACAGACAAAACCAUGGCCCACUGUUUUUUCGAUAAAGGAUGAAUUUUAUUGGCUCAAAAUGAAGCAUCAAGAGAAUAUAAACAUAAUGAGAGUCUGUUGAACCUACUAGCUAGGCGUGUUGGGGUCCCAAUUAGCAGUGCACCUUGCUACUACUAGCUAGGCGUGUUUGUGUUUGCUGAAACAACCAUGGCCUGAAACCGCGAUGUAAAAGCUUGGUACUAGCUGGCUUCCCGUGGAAUCCCCCAUUAUAAAAACCACGAUGAUGAUGAUGACAAAUUUCUGUUACUUCAGUUCAUAUUACUCUCCUUAUCUGUAUUUUUUUAUAUCUUAAUGAGGAAUAUGCAUUGAUGCUUUAAUUUGGUUUCAGUUUACAGCUAUUCCGUUAUCUAUGAACCCGGCCUUUUGGUCGUAUGGCAUUACAACAUACAAGAGCGACGAGUUCGUAGCAAACCUGCUG